GCCUUAGAAUUUUACCAUCAAUGAAAGAGAGGGUCACUACAGGUCCUAAGAAGAGAAGUGACACGCUCUUUUAUGUAAAAAGGAUGACUGUGGAUAUUGUGUUGGUAACUGACUGUAAGAGGACACUUUUAGGAAAAGUCCCCUCUUUAGAUAUUGACUUUAUCCAAGAGGAAAACAGUAGUAAUUCACACCUCAGUAGACAUGGUGAGAAGUAGUUGAUUCUACAUAUUAUAAAGUCUUUGGGUUUAAGCAACCAGAGGAAGGACUUGCCAUCAAAUGAAAUGGAUAAGCAUAAACAGGUUUGGUAGUAGCUGGGAGAUGGAAAUCAACAAUUUCUCUUGAGUCAUACUUUCUUUGAGAUUUCCAUUAGGUAUCUGAAGUAAUCAGAAACUAGCCAGGAAAACUGAAAUCAUUGAGAAUUUAAAACAAAGGGAAUUGAUACAGGUAAUUGAUGGUAGAAAUAACUUUAAAAAAAUUAAAGCCAACCAGGGGACAGUGAGGCAACCUACAAUUUAGCAACAAUGGGAGGCUACUAUCACCUUCCCUUGGAGAACAGGGAUAGGAGGCUGUACUACUGGAGCUGCAGGGAGGGAUAUUUGGGGGAAGCUGGAACCACAGUGGGCCUAUGUAAAGGAGCAGGAGCCUGUAAAAAAUGUAACUGUUAUUAGGGAUGACAGGGAGAAAAUGAGACAAUAUCUAGAUUUCUCCUUGUUCCUGCCUUUCAUCUUUCUACAUGUGUCUCCUAUUGUUUGAGCCUAACUGGAAGCCAGCUUUCAGAAAAUCUGAGCUACAUAAUCCACAGUGUUCAUCCCCUCUGUCUUAUGAACUGAACUGGGCAGAGUGAGGAAUGGGUUUCAGGAAAAAUAGACCCAUUAUCAUCACGACAUUCAGGUGGAAGUGUAAAAAAUGCAAUUGGAUUUAUGCGUGUGGAAUUUGGGAUAGAGAUAUGGCAUGGAAAUAUAAAUUUGGGAGUCAUUAGCAUUUACACUGCAUGUAAAACCACGAGAUUGGAUGAGAUAACCAAGGAAAGAAGUACAGAGAAAGAUGAUGGUGGGGGGAAAUAAAAUACUGAGGCCUGGAGCAUUCCAACAUAGAAUUAUCUGGCUCAGUUUGUCCAUAGUACCAGAGAAAAGACCCUGCUCUAUUAAUAUGCAGGAUGAGUAGUGUGUAAUUUUAGAUACUGGCGUUAAGUAUAUGUAGUAGUGGGAGUCUGCAUACAUUUCCUCUUGAUUGUUAUUUAUCUAUCUAUGUAUUUAUUUUUUGACACAGGAAACAAGGUCAUCAGCUGGCAUUGAGAUUGAAGAAAAGUAUGUGAGGGGUGUGAAAUGAGGAAAGAAUCCAUAAGUUAAUCUUACAUAAGAGGAAGAAGGCAAUGGCUAACAAAAGAAAAAUGGGCUUGUUUGGCCGCCUUAAAGGCACAUUUGCUUUUCAAGGUUGUGGUUUUAAAGAGAUAACAAUCAACACAAUUUUGUUGUGUGUUUUUCUCCCACUGCAGUUUGGGCAUAAAAGCAAUUCCAAAAUUGAUGGAGACAUGCAUGAAACUAAGGCUAUCGUUUUGCUAAGUCAGUCAUGUUUAGUAGAUAGAAAUUUAUUUGAUGACCAAGGAUGGCACAAAAUGUUUAAAAGACUGAAUAUGUGACAUAAUAAAGCACAUUUAUGAAACAGUAAAUUGCUUUUCAUAAAGGUGGAUUAUUUGAUGUAUCUUGAAGAAGAAAUAACAACUGUGAAUCAAAUAUUUAUUUAUGAAAUUGGCAGAGAGUAAAUGAUUAAA
rnacentral:lncRNA from 1 species